GACGAACCGUGCGAACGUUGCUCGGAAUCAUUGGGCGUAAAGCGCACGUAGGCGGUCUGUUAUGUCGGAUGUGAAGGCCCUCGGCUUAACUGAGGAAGUGCAUCCGAAACUGGCAGGCUAGAGUACCAAAGAGGGUCGCGGAAUUCCCGGUGUAGAGGUGAAAUUCGUAGAUAUCGGGAGGAACACCGGUGGCGAAGGCGGCGACCUGGGUGGAUACUGGACGCUGAGGUGCGAAAGCCAGGGGAGCGAAACGGG
rnacentral:rRNA from 1 species